rnacentral:rRNA from 1 species
GAGUUUGAUCCUGGCUCAGGAUGAACGCUAGCGGGAGGCCUAACACAUGCAAGCCGAGCGGUAGAGAUCUUUCGGGAUCUUGAGAGCGGCGUACGGGUGCGGAACACGUGUGCAACCUGCCUUUAUCUGGGGGAUAGCCUUUCGAAAGGAAGAUUAAUACCCCAUAAUAUACUGGAUGGCAUCAUUCGGUAUUGAAAACUCCGGUGGAUAGAGAUGGGCACGCGCAAGAUUAGAUAGUUGGUGAGGUAACGGCUCACCAAGUCUACGAUCUUUAGGGGGCCUGAGAGGGUGAUCCCCCACACUGGUACUGAGACACGGACCAGACUCCUACGGGAGGCAGCAGUGAGGAAUAUUGGACAAUGGGUGAGAGCCUGAUCCAGCCAUCCCGCGUAAAGGACGACGGCCCUAUGGGUUGUAAACUUCUUUUGUAUAGGGAUAAACCUACCCUCGUGAGGGUAGCUGAAGGUACUAUACGAAUAAGCACCGGCUAACUCCGUG